rfam:Medicago truncatula strain A17 chromosome 1, whole genome shotgun sequence.
AUAUAAGUAAAAUUGACUUUUUAGAUUCAUUCAUUUAAUGAUGUAUGUGGUUCAUAAUAUGGACUGUAUACAUCAUUAAAUGAAUGAACCUAAAAAAUCAAUUUUGCUUAUAU